UGCCUAUCGAAAAAUGAGUCUGCGAGUCAGUGGUGCGUGGCGAGGCUAACCCGUGGUGGGGGAGCCGUAGCGAAGGCGAGUCUCAAAAGGCGUUUUGAGUCGCGCGCCCUGGACCCGAAGCGGGAUGAUCUAGCCCUGGGCAGGUUGAAGCGCGGGUAAGACCGCGUGGAGGACCGAACCCACCUGGGUUGAAAACCGGGGGGAUGACCUGGGGCUAGGGGUGAAAGGCCAAUCAAAUUCCGUGAUAGCUGGUUCUCUCCGAAAUGCAUUUAGGUGCAGCGUCGGUUGAUUGCAUCGCGGGGGUAGAGCUACUGGAUGCUUGCGGGCCCGUGUCGGGUACCAAUAGCAGCCAAACUCCGAAUACCGUGGAUGUGUAUUCCGGCAGUGAGUCGGCGGGGGAUAAGCUCCGUCGUCGAGAGGGAGACAGCCCAGAUCGUCGUCUAAGGUCCCGAAGCGUGUGCUAAGUGGGAAAGGAUGUGGAGUCGCAUAGACAGCCAGGAGGUUGGCUCAGAAGCAGCCAUCCUUGAAAGAGUGCGUAACAGCUCACUGGUCUAGUGGUUCCGCGCCGACAAUGUAGCGGGGCUCAAGCACACCACCGAAGACGCGGCAGCGGCCUUUGUGGCCGUUGGGUAGGAGAGCGUCCCGCGUGGGGCGAAGCGGCCGGGGAACCGUGCCGUGGACCGCGCGGGAGUGAGAAUGCAGACAUGAGUAGCGAGAGACGGGUGAGGAUCCCGUCCGCUGGAUGACCAAGGGUUCCGGGGCCACGUUCGUCGUCCCCGGGUGAGUCGGGUCCUAAGGCGAGGCCGACAGGCGUAGUCGAAUGGAUGAACGGGUGGAUAUUCCCGUACCGGCGGCGUACCGUAAGAGCCGAACGGAUGAGUACUAACCUCCGGUCGCGUGGCGUCGUUCCCUUCGGGGUUCGGGGCGCGUGGCUGUUGGGAGCGUAGUCCUGGUAGGCUAGCGCACAGGGGUGACACGGAAUGGGAGCCGGCCGCGGAGGUGGUUUUCCGUGGUCAAGCACGCAGCCCGUCCCAUAGGCAAAUCCGUGGGACGCAUAGGGUGAGGUGUGAUGAUGGGCGUCCUUUGGACGCGAUAUCCGGUGGUCCAGGCCGUCGAGAAAAGCCUCGGCGCGAGGGGCGUCGCCGCCCGUACCCCAAACCGACACUGGUGGUCAGGUAGAGAAUACCAAGGCGAUCGAGCGAAUCCUGGUCAAGGAACUCGGCAAAUCACUCCCGUGCCUUCGGUAUAAGGGAGACCCCCGGGCGUGAAGAGGCUUGCCCUCGGAGCGUUGGGGGGUGGCACAGACCAGGGGGUAGCGACUGUUUACCAAAAACACAGGUGCAUGCGAAGGCGCAAGCCGCUGUAUAUGCACUGACGCCUGCCCGGUGCCGGAAGGUUAAGAGGAUCCGUCAGCCCCUUUUGGGGUGAAGCGGUGAAUUCAAGCCCCGGUAAACGGCGGUGGUAACUAUAACCAUCCUAAGGUAGCGAAAUUCCUUGUCGGGUAAGUUCCGACCUGCACGAAUGGCGUAACGACUUCCCCACUGUCUCGACCAGGAGCUCGGCGAAAUUGCAGUACGAGUAAAGAUGCUCGUUAAGCGCAGAAGGACGAAAAGACCCCGGGACCUUUACUAUACCUUGGUAUUGGCGUUAGGCGCGGAUUGUGUAGCAUAGGCGGGAGGCUUCGAAGCAUGGGCGCCAGCCCGUGUGGAGCCGCAAGGUGAAAUACCGCUCUGUUCUCGUUUGACGUCUCACCUCGAACAGUCAUCCUGUUCAGGGACAGUGCCUGGCGGGUAGUUUAACUGGGGCGGUUGCCUCCCAAAGAGUAACGGAGGCGCUCAAAGGUCCGCUCAGCCCGGUUGGCAAUCGGGUUUCGAGUGUAAUCGCACAAGCGGGCUUGACUGCGAGAACGACGGUUCGGGCAGGGACGAAAGUCGGAGAUAGUGAUCCGGUGCCGGCGCACGGGCGCGGCAUCGCUCAACGGAUAAAAGGUACCCCGGGGAUAACAGGCUGAUCAUUCCCAAGAGUCCAUAUCGACGGGAUGGUUUGGCACCUCGAUGUCGGCUCGUCGCAUCCUGGGGCUGGAGCAGGUCCCAAGGGUUCGGCUGUUCGCCGAUUAAAGCGGCACGCGAGCUGGGUUCAGAACGUCGUGAGACAGUUUGGUCUCUAUCCUCUGCGCUCGUUGGAAUCCUGAGGAGGCCUGCCCAUAGUACGAGAGGACCUGGGUGGACGGACCUCUGGUAUGCCGGUUGUCGCGCCAGCGGCAUGGCCGGUUGGCUACGUUCGGGAGGGAUAACCGCUGAAAGCAUCUAAGCGGGAAGCCUGCUCCAAGAUUAGGAUUCCUUGACGCUCCCCGGAGCGUUUGUAGCCCGCAUGUUGAACACGUGUUCGAUAGGCCGGAGGUGGAAGCCCCGCGAGGGGUGGAGCCGACCGGUACUAACGGGCGAACGCGGCACAC
rnacentral:rRNA from 1 species